rnacentral:rRNA from 1 species
UACAGAGACCUCAAGCGUUAUCCGGAUUCAUUGGGCGUAAAGCGUCCGCAGGUGGUUUUUCAAGUUGGAAGUCAAAUCUUUGGGCUUAACCUAGAGACUGCUUUCAAUACUGGGAAACUUGAGACUGGGAGAGGUAUACGGAACUGUUGGUGUAGUAGUAAAAUGCGUUGAUAUCAACAGGAACACCAAAGGCGAAAGCAGUAUACUGGAACAGUUCUGACACUCAUGGACGAAAGCGUGGGGAGCGAAU